rnacentral:rRNA from 1 species
AACGAACGCUGGCGGCAGGCUUAACACAUGCAAGUCGAGCGCCCCGCAAGGGGCGCGGCAGACGGGUGAGUAACGCGUGGGAAUCUACCCAUCUCUACGGAAUAACGCAUGGAAACGUGUGCUAUUACCGUAUACGUCCUUCGGGAGAAAGAUUUAUCGGAGAUGGAUGAGCCCGCGUUGGAUUAGCUAGUUGGUGGGGUAAAGGCCUACCAAGGCGACGAUCCAUAGCUGGUCUGAGAGGAUGAUCAGCCACACUGGGACUGAGACACGGCCCAGACUCCUACGGGGGGCAGCAGUGGGGAAUAUUGGACAAUGGGCGCAAGCCUGAUCCAGCCAUGCCGCGUGAGUGAUGAAGGCCCUAGGGUUGUAAAGCUCUUUCACCGGUGAAGAUAAUGACGGUAACCGGAGAAGAAGCCCCGGCUAACUUCGUGCCAGCCGCCGCGGUAACAC